rnacentral:rRNA from 1 species
AGUGAACGCUGGCGGCGUGCUCAACAUAGCAAGUCGAGCGGGGCUAUGUAAUAUCGCAAGGUAGAACAUAGCCUAGCGGCGAACGGGUGAGUAACACGUGGGUAACCUGCCUGGAAGACAGGGAUAACGAUUCGAAAGGGUCGCUAAUACCUGAUAAUAUCCUUUCAUCGCAUGGUGAUAGGAAGAAAGGGGAAACCCGCUUUCAGAUGGGCCCGCGUCCCAUCAGCUAGUUGGUAAGGUAAAGGCUUACCAAGGCGACGACGGGUAGCCGGUCUGAGAGGAUGUACGGCCACACUGGGACUGAGAUACGGCCCAGACUCCUACGGGAGGCAGCAGUUGGGAAUCUUAGGCAAUGGACGAAAGUCUGACCUAGCGACGCCGCGUGAGGGAAGAAGGCCUUCGGGUUGUAAACCUCUGUCAUGGGGGAAGAAGUAAGUGACGGUACCCCAAGAGGAAGCCCCUGCUAACUACGUG